GCCAAGUGAAAGGAAGUUCCAUUUAUUAUCGUUGAAAACUCCUGGAGACAAUAAUUACAACGGAAUGGAGACGAAUUGUGAUACGAGAUCGAUGCGCAUGCGCCAUUUCAAAAAACCUCAAGAAAAGAACGCGCGCGCAAAUGUUGAGCAAAGCGCGAAGCGCACCGCGCGCGCGUUGUUAACCAGUCGUUUGUUGAUCCAACGAGUGUUCGGUUCGACGUGUGACCAUUCGUGCGUAUAAUCUAACAAGAAAUAAAGAUAGAUAGAUAGAUAAAAGAUAAUUAGAUAAAUAGGUAAAUAGACAACUAGAAGGAUAGAAAGAAAGAAAGAAAGAAAGAAAGAAAGAAAAAAGUGUUUUCGUCAUCAGCAAGUGAAAUUUUAGAAGCAACUUGAAAGAAGGAAGGAAGGAAGGAAGGAAGGAAGAUUGAUCUAUCGAUCAUUCAUUCAUCGAUUAAUAUUCUAUGAUCUCUACAAAUGAAUCAUAAGAAUUGGAUUUGAGUGUUAGAUAGAGUACCGUUCGAGCAAAAAA